CUGACCUCAAAUCAGGUAGGACUACCCGCUGAACUUAAGCAUAUCAAUAAGCGGAGGAAAAGAAACUAACAAGGAUUCCCCUAGUAACUGCGAGUGAAGC
rnacentral:rRNA from 1 species